AAGUCUGGUAAACAUGCUAUUAUCCAGAAGCCAGAAGAUUCCUUUGUGAAUAAUGCGUGUAAAUAGAACUGAUUGCUCUGGGAGAAAUGAAGGGCCCCAUACUUAAGGGAAGUAGAAUUCAGGUGAAGGACAAAAGCCGAGGAAUAAAGCGGCAUUUUGCUGUGCAGAACAACAGUUUGGUUCCUGCCCAGAGUUCCUGCACUGGCUUCUCUCACUGAUGAACAAGCCAUAAGCUCGAGAGGAGUAUGCGAUGAGCAUCAACAUUGGGAGACCUUGUGAGAUGGCAGCAGUCAUGUGUGUUGUUGUUUGAAACCAAGCACAUGCUUUAGCCCAGCACAGAACUCUGGGUUCUUUCCAUGCCUGGGCCUUUGGUAAGAACUACCAUGUCCAGUGUGACUACCCCAAGCACCCAACCCUUAAUCAUUUGAUCACAGAGACCCUGUAAUCACCUGCAUUUCCCCCUGGUGGGUACUAAGUCUCUCUAUUAACCUGCCAGCAUCUAAAUUGGCUCUUCAGUAGAAGCCUAAAUGACUGCUUACCCUAGAAGCUCUUCAUGUUCCAAAAUUAGCCCACAGUUGAAGAGCGGGUCAUGUUGCUUCCUGUCUUGGGUGAUAGCAACUUUCUCAGCCACUGGAAGCACAUCUCUUAACCUUUCCUGACUUCCCCAUCUGUGAUUUUUCAGCUAAUUAUUCCGAACAUUAAGGGGCGAUGGAGAGGAUUAAUUUGUUAAUGUUUGAAAAGUACUUUAGAUAUGUAAAGUGCUAAGUAUUUCUAAAUUCCACAUAAAUAAAUUGCAAUUUGGGAUCUAAAGGGAAUCAAUAGUUGCAUUUAUUUAACCAAUCUACAAAAAAAAA
rnacentral:lncRNA from 1 species